UCUCCUGGCGGCUAUAAAAGAACUGAUGAACACAAUAUCUGCUGUAUUAAUGUAAACCUGAGAACAGGCAGCAAUAAAACCAAACAUUCUGUGGCAGUCAACAGCAACUGCAAUUAGUGCAACCAUGCAAUAUCAUCUAAUCAUAAGCAAGUGGCUUUACAACUGACAUAUUCCUUAUCGAAGAAACUUGGACUGUUUUAUAAGAAAGUAAAUACAUCCUAUCAUAACAUGAAAAAUUAAAUAAUCAGUUAGAUUUUAGCUUGAAUCUGCCAAGUGUUAACUAUAGAGAAUUCUAGGACGUUUUCUGAUACGUAAUAUCGUAAUUACGUGAAAAAGUUACGUGAUAAAUCAAGUUCUGUGUUAAGCUGAGAUACAAAUAACUUACACAUUCAAAACUACAGUCUAGACAUGAAAUUCAUGUGUCAGCCGGUUUAUUUUGUUAUAAUGUUGGCAUUUAUGUCGCAUUUUACACAUGUUCAUUGUCACUUAAUUAAUUUUGAUAUCGUGGGCCAAAUAAGAAAUAUUGUUCAUACGGUACUUCUUCCGAAACAAAAGCAAGAAUCAGUGGUUACACCCUUACCUACGGUUCGACUCUCGACGUACGGUUUGUCGACUUAUAUUCCGGGUUCUUCUGAAGAUGACCAACAAGUCGAAGCAUCAACGCUGCCUCAAGACUCAGUUAACACUACGCUUCAGGAAGAGCUGGAGUUAAGGUCAAUGAUAGAUGCACCUCUUAUAAACGGAAAGUGUGAAACCGGCUUCAAGAAGGCUAACGGACGCUGCAGAAGGACGUUUGGACGGCGCCGGAGAAGGCGUUAAUAUGCAGACACGUCAAGAUAUUACGGAAGUUCACUUUUCAAGACUAUAUUUUGUCGCAAGAGGAAUAUUUGGAAUCAUCGACUACUUCCUCCGGGCACAGUCCACGGAUCUGGAUGUGUAAGCAACGAGCUGUGGUCGAGCUGUGUUGCUACUGGACAGACUCGAUACGGUGACUGUGAAUUUGAGAGCGAGGAUUGGCAAAUCUCUGCGGAACAUUCACGAUGGAGGCGUUCCAUCUUCAAAAAUAUUUCGUGUGGACCGAGGUCUAGGAAAGUGAAAGGAAUAUGUAGGCGGAAGUGGGGAUAAACUGCUUCGUUGGGAACAGCACCUGCCGUUUUUACCACCGUUUCAGCUCGAAACGAAUCAUGGUCAGUUAUGGUAGACUGCGUGAUCUCCUGUUACAAUGUCAUUAUCAGAUCUGGUCACCUAAAGUAACUUCGACUGUUUCAAGCAAUGAAGCCUCAUCUACAAAUUUCUGUUAGGAAAACACCAAAUUAGCCGGUCACAGUAACCGAGCGGUCUAAGGCAUGCACUGUCUUCGCUCGCUUGGAAACCGGGAUCCUGG